GAUGAACGCUGGCGGCGUGCUUAACACAUGCAAGUCGAACGAUGAAGCUGGAGCUUGCUCUGGUGGAAUAGUGGCGAACGGGUGAGUAACACGUGAGCAACCUGCCCCUGACUCUGGGAUAACAGCCGGAAACGGCUGCUAAUACCGGAUAUGCACCAUGAACGCAUGUUCUGUGGUGGGAAAGAUUUUUCGGUUGGUGAUGGGCUCGCGGCCUAUCAGCUUGUUGGUGAGGUAAUGGCUCACCAAGGCGUCGACGGGUAGCCGGCCUGAGAGGGUGACCGGCCACACUGGGACUGAGACACGGCCCAGACUCCUACGGGAGGCAGCAGUGGGGAAUAUUGCACAAUGGGCGAAAGCCUGAUGCAGCAACGCCGCGUGAGGGAUGACGGCCUUCGGGUUGUAAACCUCUUUUAGCAGGGAAGAAGCGAGAGUGACGGUACCUGCAGAAAAAGCGCCGGCUAACUACGUG
rnacentral:rRNA from 1 species